rnacentral:rRNA from 1 species
CUAUACAUGCAGUCGAGCGAAUGGAUUAAGAGCUUGCUCUUAUGAAGUUAGCGGCGGACGGGUGAGUAACACGUGGGUAACCUGCCCAUAAGACUGGGAUAACUCCGGGAAACCGGGGCUAAUACCGGAUAACAUUUUGAACCGCAUGGUUCGAAAUUGAAAGGCGGCUUCGGCUGUCACUUAUGGAUGGACCCGCGUCGCAUUAGCUAGUUGGUGAGGUAACGGCUCACCAAGGCAACGAUGCGUAGCCGACCUGAGAGGGUGAUCGGCCACACUGGGACUGAGACACGGCCCAGACUCCUACGGGAGGCAGCAGUAGGGAAUCUUCCGCAAUGGACGAAAGUCUGACGGAGCAACGCCGCGUGAGUGAUGAAGGCUUUCGGGUCGUAAAACUCUGUUGUUAGGGAAGAACAAGUGCUAGUUGAAUAAGCUGGCACCUUGACGGUACCUAACCAGAAAGCCACGGCUAACUACGUGCCAGCAGCCGCGGUAAUACGUAGGUGGCAAGCGUUAUCCGGAAUUAUUGGGCGUAAAGCGCGCGCAGGUGGUUUCUUAAGUCUGAUGUGAAAGCCCACGGCUCAACCGUGGAGGGUCAUUGGAAACUGGGAGACUUGAGUGCAGAAGAGGAAAGUGGAAUUCCAUGUGUAGCGGUGAAAUGCGUAGAGAUAUGGAGGAACACCAGUGGCGAAGGCGACUUUCUGGUCUGUAACUGACACUGAGGCGCGAAAGCGU